ACKGCUCAGUAACACGUGGACAACCUACCCUAAGGAGGGGGAUAACCCCGGAAAACUGGGGAUAAUACCCCAUAGACUACAGAAGCUGGAAUGCUCUGUAAUCGAAAGGUCCGCCGCCUUAGGAUGGGUCUGCGGCUGAUUAGGUUGUUGUUGGGGUAACGGCCCAACAAGCCUGUAAUCAGUACGGGUUGUGGGAGCAAGAACCCGGAGAUGGAUUCUGAGACACGAAUCCAGGCCCUACGGGGCGCAGCAGGCGCGAAAACUUUACAAUGCGAGAAAUCGUGAUAAGGGAACCCCGAGUGCCCGUAAAUUCGGGCUGUUAAUCUGUGUAAAAAGCAGGUGGAGAAAGGGCCGGGCAAGACCGGUGCCAGCCGCCGCGGUAAUACCGGCGGCUCGAGUGGUGGCCACUAUUACUGGGCUUAAAGCGUCCGUAGCUGGAUUGUUAAGUCUCUUGGGAAAUCUACCGGCUUAACCGAUAGGCGUUCAAGGGAUACUGGCAAUCUAGGGACCGGAAGAGGUGAGAGGUACUCCAGGGGUAGGAGUGAAAUCCUGUAAUCCUUGGGGGACCACCUGUGGCGAAGGCGUCUCACCAGAACGGCUCCGACAGUGAGGGACGAAAGCUGGGGGAGCAAACCGGAUUAGAUACCCGGGUAGUCCCAGCUGUAAACGAUGUGCGUUAGGUGUAUCGGUGACCACGAGUCACCGAGGUGCCGAUGAGAAAUCGUGAAACGUACCGCCUGGGAAGUACGGUCGCAAGGCUGAAACUUAAAGGAAUUGGCGGGGGAGCAC
rnacentral:rRNA from 1 species